rnacentral:lncRNA from 1 species
CAAGAACUAUGUUCUUGAGUUUGGGUGUCCAAAGUAGAUUUUGGAUCCUUUUGGGUGUCCAGAAUUCUGCAGAAAAGCUGAUUUUCUUGCCUACUUUGCGUCUUGAUAUCUUUCAGCUCAGACCUUUGUUUUAAAAUACGAAAGUACUUUUGUAAAGCUCAUAUAUCCAUAUUUAUGUGUGUUAAAUUUCAGAGGAUUUGGUUAACAUUUGGUUUGUCAAAUUGCUUGCCAAAAACAGUAGCAGAUUCAGCCAAAAUCUGAAAUUUUCUGGGUUUUCAGAUUUUUGCUUCAACUUUGAGAGAGCAUAACUUCCUAUCCACGGCUUUGUUUUCAAAACUUAAGCUAUGUACUUAAAUCUUGUAAUCCUAUCUUUAUAAUAGGCUUUGGUUCAUAAACUUUUGUUGGAUUUGAGUGAGUGGAAAGUGAAGCCAAAAACAACAGCUUACCCACUGUUUGGGAAGCCAUGGCUGGCCAGAGAGAGAGAGAGAGAGAGAGAGAGAGAGAGAGAGAGAGAGAGAGAGAGAGAGAGAGAGAGAGAGAGAGAGAGAGAGAGAGAG